UACGGGGGGGGCAAGCGUUGUUCGGAAUUACUGGGCGUAAAGGGCGCGUAGGCGGCCUCCUAAGUCGGACGUGAAAUCCCUCGGCUCAACCGAGGAACUGCGUCCGAUACUGGCAGGCUGGAAUCCGGGAGAGGGAUGUGGAAUUCCAGGUGUAGCGGUGAAAUGCGUAGAUAUCUGGAGGAACACCGGUGGCGAAGGCGGCAUCCUGGACCGGUAUUGACGCUGAGGCGCGAAAGCUAGGGGAGCAAACGGG
rnacentral:rRNA from 1 species